AGUGAACGCUGGCGGUAGGCCUAACACAUGCAAGUCGAACGGCAGCACAGUAAGAGCUUGCUCUUACGGGUGGCGAGUGGCGGACGGGUGAGGAAUACAUCGGAAUCUACUUUUUCGUGGGGGAUAACGUAGGGAAACUUACGCUAAUACCGCAUACGACCUACGGGUGAAAGCAGGGGAUCUUCGGACCUUGCGCGAUUGAAUGGGCCGAUGUCGGAUUAGCUAGUUGGCGGGGUAAAGGCCCACCAAGGCGACGAUCCGUAGCUGGUCUGAGAGGAUGAUCAGCCACACUGGAACUGAGACACGGUCCAGACUCCUACGGGAGGCAGCAGUGGGGAAUAUUGGACAAUGGGCGCAAGCCUGAUCCAGCCAUACCGCGUGGGAGAAGAAGGCCUUCGGGUUGUAAAGCCCUUUUGUUGGGAAAGAAAAGCAGCAGGUUAAUACCCCGCUGUUCUGACGGUACCCAAAGAAUAAGCACCGGCUAACUUCGUG
rnacentral:rRNA from 1 species